ensembl:lncRNA
CAUCCCUAACAAUGCGCGGAAAACCCGAGGCUUCCCUGCGCUCGACGCUCACUCUACAACCGCAGCUCCUCCCCUGGCAGGAACCCCCAAGUUCCCGGACCUUAACAACAGGGCGCCUGGAUCUCUCGGCCGCAGGUUCCAGGGACGCUGAAAUUGAACGCUCCGCCUACAGUUUCGUGCUGUGCACGAAGGAGUUGACCAGGAUGAAAAGCGAACUCUGCCUUCUUGAAAGCUGACAGUUAUCUGUAUGGAAAAUCUGCCCAGUGGAAAAUUGUCCAGAAAAGAUUACUAAGUAAUAUAGGGUCUUCUGGGAUGUCUUACCAAUACGAGCUUUUCUAAGAGCACCAAAAAUUAAACUAUUGCUUUGUCCUGGCAUUCAGGAAAAUACAGGUGUACGCCAACAGAGGAAUUCAUAGACAACUAACUAGUCCUCUUUCACUAGUUGAUUGGUUCUUACACAGUUGCUUGGUUGGUUCUUAAGAAAGCAGGCACCUCCUUUUACCCCAAGCCAAAAUUAAAAUGUGUCCAAAAGUUGUUCUUUUAGGCUUUUUUUACUGAUUUUCCCAUGUUCCUCUGGCAAACUCCUACAUUUUUUCCAAUUCCAGUACUGUUGUUGGGUGUCAUUCCCAGAAGACAACCCGAAACCCUCUUAGGCCUUAGGAGAUCACCCGAAUACUAGCCUUAAUUAACCUAGAUCAACACAAAAUUCUAGCGUGGGGCCAUGCUCCUAGAUAGCAGGCAGAAAAAUUCCUGGAAGUUUCCUGGGGAAAAGACAGAGGCUGACUAGCAAUUUGCUAAAAAGUACUGAGUACCUUGCAGGCCACCAGGUACUAGCUGAGGUAGUUCCAGCUCUUCAAUGCCUUGCCAGGAUUUAAAUGCUCAGUGAGGUGAGUACUAAGGGCACAAAUGUCCUGUGGAGGGCUUUAUUCUCCAAGGGCUUUCUGAGUGCACCUCUAUCCUCCUUGUGCCACUGGCACCCUAAACUCAAGCUUAGUCAUCCCUGAAAUGCUCCCACACUACCCAGUGUCAAGGAACCACAAUUCUAGACUUUGGACACAGGUGAACCAGGAGGAAAUCCCUACUCUUCCUGUGUAAAUGUAAGGAAGUUACUGCUACAUUUUUUUCCCAUCAACAAUAUAAGAAUAGUACUAUAGGGUGCUGUGAGAAUUAAAUAGAAUGCUUAAAUCACCAAGAACAGGGCCAAGCACUUUAUAAGUACUCAGUAAAUGGUAGCUGUUGUAUUUACUACAGUUCAUUGCCCUGAGAACAAAAGGACCAGAAACAGCAAGGAGGUUUGGAGAUGGAUUUGAAUCCCUGCAAGUUGAGUUCCCCCACCCCAUCCCCGACAGUUGCUUAGUUGUGAUACUUUUGUCUACUCUGUGCCUGCUUUCUAGUAGGGUGAACUGGACAGUUCUACGUGUAGUCAGGUGAUUCCCAUGCACACUAAAGUCUGAGAAGCGCUAGUCUGAAAGCCACUAUGUAUACUGUUUAGGUCUCCUUUUGUUUUUUUUUCUUUUUUUUUUUUUUUUUUUCGGUACGCGGGCCUCUCACUGUUGUGGCCUGUCCCGUUGCGGAGCACAGGCUCCGGACGCGCAGGCUCAGUGGCCAUGGCUCACGGGCCCAGGCGCUUUAAGGCAUGUGGGAUCUUCCCGGACUGGGGCACGAACCCGCAUCCCCUGCAUCAGCAGACCGACUCUCAACCACUGUGCCACCAGGGAAGCCCUU